rnacentral:rRNA from 1 species
CCUACGGGGGGCUGCAGUGGGGAAUAUUGGACAAUGGGGGCAACCCUGAUCCAGCCACGCCGCGUGUGUGAAGAAGGCCCUCGGGUUGUAAAGCACUUUCAGUGAGGAAGAACGCCUGGUGGUUAAUACCCAUCAGGAAAGACAUCACUCACAGAAGAAGCACCGGCUAACUCCGUGCCAGCAGCCGCGGUAAUACGGAGGGUGCGAGCGUUAAUCGGAAUUACUGGGCGUAAAGCGCGCGUAGGUGGCUUGAUAAGCCGGUUGUGAAAGCCCCGGGCUCAACCUGGGAACGGCAUCCGGAACUGUCAAGCUAGAGUGCAGGAGAGGAAGGUAGAAUUCCCGGUGUAGCGGUGAAAUGCGUAGAGAUCGGGAGGAAUACCAGUGGCGAAGGCGGCCUUCUGGACUGACACUGACACUGAGGUGCGAAAGCGUGGGUAGCAAACAGGAUUAGAUACCCCAGUAGUC